rnacentral:rRNA from 1 species
AACGAACGCUGGCGGCAUGCCUAACACAUGCAAGUCGAACGAAACCUUCCGGUCUAGUUGCGCACGGGUGCGUAACGCGUGGGAACCUGCCCUUAGGUUCGGUAUACCUCCCCUAAAGGGGUGCUAAUACCGGUGAAUCUCUUCCGACCAAAGAUUUAUCGCGUUUGGAUGGGCCCGCGUUAGAUUCGCUAGUUGGUAGGGUAAAAGCCUAGCAUGGAGGCGAUCCAUAGCUGGUGUGAGAGGAUGAUAAGCCACACUGGGACUGAGACACGGCCCAGAAUCAUACGGGAGGGAGCAGUAGGGAAUAUUGGACAAUGGGCGAAAGUCUGAUAAAGCAACGCCGGGUGAGUGAUGAAGGCCGUAGGGUUGUAAAGCUGUUUUAGACGGGAUGAUAAUGACAGUACCGGGAGAAUAAGCGCCGGCUAACUACGUG